rnacentral:rRNA from 1 species
GCUUGCUUCUUUGAUGACGACCGGCGCACGGGUGCGUAACGCGUAUAGAAUCUACCUUAUACUGAGGGAUAGCCUUUGGAAACGAAGAUUAAUACCUCAUAGUAUGUUUUUAUCGCAUGAUAGAUACAUUAAAGGUUACGGUAUAAGAUGACUAUGCGUUCUAUUAGCUAGAUGGUGUGGUAACGGCACACCAUGGCAACGAUAGAUAGGGGCCCUGAGAGGGGGAUCCCCCACACUGGUACUGAGACACGGACCAGACUCCUACGGGAGGCAGCAGUGAGGAAUAUUGGACAAUGGAGGCAACUCUGAUCCAGCCAUGCCGCGUGCAGGAAGACUGCCCUAUGGGUUGUAAACUGCUUUUAUACAGGAAGAAACCUUUUCACGUGUGAGAAGCUGACGGUACUGUAAGAAUAAGGAUCGGCUAACUCCGUGCCAGCAGCCGCGGUAAUACGGAGGAUCCAAGCGUUAUCCGGAAUCAUUGGGUUUAAAGGGUCCGUAGGUGGAUAAUUAAGUCAGGGGUGAAAGUCUGCAGCUCAACUGUAGAAUUGCCUUUGAUACUGGUUAUCUUGAAUUAUUGUGAAGUAGUUAGAAUAUGUAGUGUAGCGGUGAAAUGCAUAGAUAUUACAUAGAAUACCAAUUGCGAAGGCAGAUUACUAACAAUAUAUUGACACUGAUGGACGAAAGCGUGGGGAGCGAACAGGAUUAGAUACCCUGGUAGUCCACGCCGUAAACGAUGGUCACUAGCUGUUCGGAUUUAUCUGAGUGGCUAAGCGAAAGUGAUAAGUGACCCACCUGGGGAGUACGUUCGCAAGAAUGAAAC